GGCAGUCGGCGGGGCCUCCUCAACGUGGUACGCGGCGGUGAGCGCCCCCGGGGCGGACAGAGGUCACCCCGCCCUUCGCUGUGCGCCGGUGUCCUGCAAACCCUGUCUGUGGAGCGGUUUUCCAGCCUCCGCUCUGCCACCUUCACCCUUUGCUCUGCUUUUACUUGGACGCCGGCCGGGAGGGGCCUGAGAGCCCCCGCGCUCGGACUUGAUUCGGAAACGCGCGGCGCCCUACUUCUCCCCGGGGACCGCGUGUCGCUCCCUACCGCCGCAUUCGGGAGGUUCAGCCAGACUUCUCUCGAGAGGGCCGUUCUCAUCUGUCAGACUCUGAAGGAAGGGGCAGCCCACACCUGUUUAGGAGAAACACCUUCCUGUCUCUAUAGAAGCUGAAAUCCAUCAAUCUCCGUUCUUCAAAAUGCAAUGGAACGUACCAAAGACUGUAUUCCGACUGGCACAUAGGACAUGCAUGGAACCAGAUAAAGCUGGUCUUUUGGGACACUGUCAAAACAUGAAGGGACCAUUACUUUUGUAUACCUCAGAAUCCAGAGUGGUUUGGGUACAGGGCCCUCAGAAACGAUGGCUGCACUUACCUGCUGCCCAGUGUGUUGCAAAGGAAAGGAAGCCAUUCAUUGCUCACCCACCCCAACCAGGGAUCCUUCAUAAACAGUGGGAGCAGGAUACCUUAUCCAAGAGGGUUCUGUCAUCCAGUGCUACAUCCCCAGGAACUCCCUCUGAAAAAAAGGAAGAACCUGAUCCUUUACAAGACAGAUCAAUUAGUCUUUAUCAACGAUUUAAGAAAACAUUUAGACAAUAUGGAAAAGUUUUGAUUCCAGUGCAUCUAAUAACUUCUGGUGUUUGGUUUGGAACGUUUUAUUAUGCAGCCAUAAAAGGAGUGAAUGUCGUUCCUUUUCUAGAACUUAUUGGGUUACCUGACAGCGUAGUAAACAUUCUGAAAAAUUCCCAGAGUGGAAAUGCACUGACAGCAUAUGCCCUGUUUAAGAUUGCAACGCCUGCGCGGUACACUGUGACCCUGGGGGGGACCUCCUUCACUGUGAAGUAUCUGCGCAGCCGUGGCUAUAUGUCGACACCACCCCCUGUGAAGGAGUAUCUGCAGGACAGGAUGGAGGAGACAAAGGAGCUCCUCACAGAGAAAAUGGAGGAGACAAAGGACAGACUUACUGAAAAACUGCAAGAAACCAAAGGAAAGGUUUCUUUUAAGAAAAAAGUGGAAUAGGGUGCCUUAUAUACCAGGUUAUAGACAGUUCCUGCACUUUAACCCUUGGGGACUGGACAAAGGGUCCCAAAGGCACAGUUUGUCCAGUCCUCAAACACUGACUGCCCUGCCAUUCACCUUGGUCUGGAGGUAGAGUUACAGGGCUUGGUUGCCAUCGUGCUCCAUCACCAUGUGCUUGUUAUUCCCCUCCUGAAGAAGAUGGAAGAUACUGUGGGUCACUUCAGAAUGUUGAGGCCAGUAGCUGUAGUUGAAGAAAGGCACAGGAGAGCCGGGUCAGACGUUCAAAUCCAGGAACUAAGAAAGCUCUCACCCCAGCACCUCACACACACUGAGGACAGCGCUGCUCACAAGGCGUCCCUCCCUGCACACCAGCCUGAAGGCAGGAGCAGCAAGUGGCCGUCUAACCCUGGCCGUGAACAUAAACUUGAACUGUGCAAGAUGCAGCACUUGGGGAGUAAAAUAAGCUAAAGCUGAAAUCCUGAUUCCUGCGGAAUUCGCACAAUUCAGGUGAGCUACUGGGACCCACUUGUGGUUGGGGUGAGUGCAGGUCUUUCAUCUGCUUUUGUUGGGCCCCUUUAGACACAGCGUCCUUACACUGGGGGGGACUUGCCAAUGCAUCUCCAUUUCGCCAAGGCCAAGGUGACCGUGCAGAAGGGGAGCCUGGUCCCUGCUUCUCCACCAAGGUGCGGGGUGGGGGUGGGGGGCUGUCACCGCAAGGCCCCACGCCCAGCACAACUAUCUUUCCUAGUCUUUCCUUCACAGACACUGCUCAGCUCUGGAAAUUUUAAGAAAAAUGAACCGUACACUAACAUGUUGCUGUUCUAAGCAGCAGACCUCAAGCAGCAGCCUUGGCACAGCAAACACAAGGCUUGGGGAACAGCCCCUAGCCGCUGCCUCGCAGCCAGGCCAGUGUGGGAGCCUGGUGGCCAGCAGCAAAUGGAAGCUGCUUUGGAGGGGCUCGUGGACCUGGACAGUCUCUGCAAGGACUCUCUGGACAGAAGAGCAGGUGGAGAGAUUGACUACUUGUGUGGAUGUUACUGUGUGAAAUGGAUGAAGAUUCCAGUUCUCCAAACAAAACCCAGGGACCUACCAACCAAGAGGAGCCUUGGAAAGGAGCAGCAGAAAGCAGUUUGAGAGCUUUCUGCCAGUAGCACGAGGGCACCUCACCGGGCAGCCACCUCCGAGACCACAACAGCAGACACCCGGAACUGCAGGUCAGGGUCCCAAGUCAUCCCUCCAGCCCUCGGUCCCUGUGAGAGCAGGCAGGGGCUGCACAGAAGCACCCCACCCGGGUGCAGCAAAGGCAGAUGCUUCUGUGAAGGAAGUUACUUUAGGUGAGAAUGAAUGUUACAAUAAUUAAGGUUAGUUUUCUAGUUGAUUUUAGCUGCAAGUUGUGCUUUUUACCCUGUGCUCUGAGUUGCUCCCCGCCCAGUUCUGGCCUCCACUGCAGAGGCUUAGUGACCCCUGGGAGCACAUCUGGUUCUGAGCACUGCAUUCCUCCCGGGUGCUGGUCCGCAUACUUGGCCACAUGGGUCCCUUCCUCAGUCCCAGGGGCUUCUACACAGUAUCUGCAGCCAGUGUCACACACAUAACAGGGCGGUGGGCUGCACAGAAGCGACUGCUGAGUCUUGUUGACCAGCCAUCCAGGCCUGAACUCCACUAUCCAGGGAAGGAGAGACCGCAGGAACACACUGAAGUCAUGUGUUUCAACAGUAUAAAAAUAGCCACCUUGCAUUUUAAACAAUUUAUUGCAUAAAAUAGUGUAUUAUCUGAGUAUAUUUCAUGCUACAGUGAAAAAAAUCUAAAUUACCACAGAAACUGCACUGCUGGAGGGCCAGGGCAGCACUGCGUGGUGUGUAAAUGCAGGUGUAAAACACGCAGCCUGAGGCUGGAGGGACUCAACACACCAGGGAUGCAGGAAGUUUCCUCUGCUCCAUCCAGAGUCUCCAGGUGCCUCAGUGACACAUUCACUGCUGUGUGGUGACUUUCUUGGUGAAUGUAAGUAAGUGGUGUACAUUAGGCUACCUCCCCUGACACCCUUUCCUGCAUGAUUAUGGGGGAGAUGAUUAUGGGGCCUAAUUUUAAUCCACAGGUGAAAAGACAACAUACAGAACUUCGAGUAAAGCUUCCUCAUUAUCUUAAACAUGAAGAUAGUGCAACUUUUAAAACACAGCAUCACAACACUGAUUAACCCCUUGCAUUCAUCUGACUUCUCCACUUUAUACCUUGGCACACAAAACAGGAAUUUAGAAUCAUAUUUUUAAAAUAAAAAAGUUCCACAGUUUAGGGGUGGGAAGCAAACUGGCGAUUCUUCCCCAUAAUGUAUAACAACAUUUUCCUCUGUAUUCAGUUAAUUGUAAAACAGGCCAUUCUGGCCUCUUCCCCUGCUGCGUCUGCUUUCAUAGUCAAGUCAGAUGCCUCUGUGGGUUUUAUUUCAUAAUGUCUUCAAAGCACCCCUUUGUGUUCUCAUGCCCACCCUUUGCCAAAACCUGCCCUUUCCUAUCACUGCCCCAGAUGAACACCGUUUGCGGCCAGACUGGAGGAGGUUUGUACUAUUUCAGCCUGCGUGCGGCUCCUGUGGAAGGAAUCAUUGUUUUACUGAACUUGCUGUGCUGGGGACGGAGGAGCAGUGCCACCGCCUCCCUCCUCCUUUCUUAAGUCAGGUAUGCACGCAGGUCAGAUGAGGUUCCCGGGCUUCCUGUCCUUGCCCUGAAUGGGCAGCUUGGUGCCCCCCAGGGCCGUCCCGCUGGAGUGGCAGUCUGCUCCCCCUGUGCGUGCUGUGCUGGGGGUGGAAGAGAGUGGCACCCAGGCAGUGGCCCAUCACCUCGCUGUAGGCCGGGGGUGGCCCCUCCAUCCUCCUGUUACUGCUGCAGGUGCUGGCACUUAUGCCUGAAUUGCUGCUGGGUGGGCGUGGGCCCCCGCUGUAGACGGACACGUCUAUCAAAUCGCUGUCAAAUAUGGUUCGGUUGGGUGGGGCCCUCACAGACUCUCGGUUGAGUUCCAUCUGCUGUUCGGGGUCCCGGAGCUGCAGGGUGCAGGGCCCCUGGUAAGGAGGCGGCUCCUCCCCGUCCGACAGGGAGAUGGUGGGGGGAAGGUCGAUCUCGUGCUGCACGUAGGGGUAGGUGGGCUGGAAGCGGCUGAACCGAUCCCUCUGGAGAAAGGUUGGGGCAGUCCCCCCAUUCCUGGACCGCGGUGCGUACAUGAUCUGCAGGGAAAAGAGCAACACCUGGGAGAUGUUCUUGGCACAGUGAUGACCACGGACGUGAUGGCAGCAAGGAAAUUCACGUCUGUUCUCACCCAUCUGAAAACUUUUCCCCCCAAAACACAUGUAAAGGCUAUUCCAGAAAAACAGGUUUUUCGUUCCUAAUGACUUUACAGCACUCACCUUGCCAAACCCAGGACGGUUCAGCAACGGAUAAUUGCGGUUACCUGAAAAUGUAGGUUUAAUGGAGUUAUUGUGUACAUUUCCCACUGGUCAAGGAGAACACAGGAGCCCCCCCCCCCACCCCGGCCUGCCCACCAUGUGACCUUCUCUGGGCCCCACUCCUGUGAUUCAGAGGAGUAUAGAGGGUGAAGAAUUUUCAUUGUAAAUGUAAGUUGUAACUUCACAGGAUGGUACUUGGAGCAGGUACAAGACAUUGGGUCAAUUUAUGAGUUAUUUAUAGGAGCUGUUGCCCUAUCAAUUACUUAAAAAUAUGAAACAAGUGACUUUCUUUCUGGAUAAAAGUUUCCUGUAGUUAUUUUUAGCAACUGACAUGAAAACUAUUUUAUAUUCCAACGUAAGUAUAAUUAUACUUUUUUCCCCCCAAAAGAAUCCAGGUACUCUCUUGCAUAGCUUCUCAUCUAUUCCACCAUCUCACUUUCUUCUAGAGGAAGGACAUAUGUAUAUAAAGAUAUACAUCCAUCUGUCAACUUCUCUCACACCAUGUUUUUAACUUAAAGGCAAAAAAUGUUAUUUUUACAAUCAUACUAUUAAACUGGGAGAUGGGGUGAAUCAAGCGGUGAUGUUUAUAAGCUACACCGACAGCCACCACCUCAUUAUCAGCAGCCUAAGGCAUCAAGUGAAGAUCCUGGAUUCUCGACCUGUUUUCCCGAAGGAGCUCUGGCCAGGCACAAAGAAUCCUUGGGAGAGUCUAGGGAAGACCCCUCCUGCACCUCUUAAACCAAGUUACAGGCACAGGCCUUGAUCUUCAUCUGUGCUGACACGUUCAACCCUUCCACCAAUUUUGUUCAUCCCCCUCUAUGCAUCUCCUGCCACCCACACCCCACCUGUGUCCAACCCCUUACCUCUGAGGUGGGCCGAGGUCCAAAUCUGUCUGAAGGCCACAGGCGCCCUUCCUGGUUGGGGGGUGGGGGACAUAACAGGAAGAUCAUUAGUUUCAUGCAGCAGCACCCAAAGCCAAGGGAUCACACUCAGCUGAGCGCAGGCUGUUUAACACCCGGAACCACAAAGCCCCAGCCUUUUGUUACCUGCACCCCCAGAGGAGUCGUGGCCACAGGAAAGUCAAACAGUUUGGGUCUCCCCACAGUAGCCUUGAAUGGUGUGCCCAUCUACACCGCUGGCUUUCAGACUGAGUUUCCCAAACCUAAGAGCCCUCUGUGCAUUUUCUUAUGAAUUGAUUCCUCAGUACAAAUGCUCACGAGGAGUGUGGAACCUGACAUCUAGUUGUUUAGUAAUCUUUCAAAAAUGUUUGGCCAGGGACUUUGCUGGCGGUGCAGUGGUUAAGACUCCAUGCUCCCAUUGCAGGGGGCCUGGGUUCAAUGCCUGGUCAGGGAACUAGAUCCCACACGCAUGCCACAGCUAAG